GGUGACUCAGUGGUUAUCGCACUGGUCUACCAAUUGAAGGAUGUUGGUUCAAAUCCCACUGC
rnacentral:tRNA from 16 species